rnacentral:rRNA from 1 species
CCUACGGGAGGCAGCAGUGGGGGAUAUUGCACAAUGGGGGGAACCCUGAUGCAGCGAUGCCGCGUGGGUGAAGGAGUGCUUCGGCAUGUAAAGCCCUAUCGGCAGGGAAGAAGCAAGUCGGUUCCUGACUAUGAAGCCCCGGCUAAAUACGUGCCAGCAGCCGCGGCAAUACGUAGGGGGCGAGCGUUAUCCGGAUUCACGGGGCGUACAGGGAGCGUAGACGGCCAGGCAAGCCAGGGGUGAAAGCCCGGGGCACAACCCGGGGACUGCCCUUGAAACUGUGCGGCUAGAGUGCGGGAGGGGCAGGUAGAAUUCCUGGUGUAGCGGUGAAAUGCGUAGAGAUCAGGAGGAACACCGGCGGCGAAGGCGGCCUGCUGGACCGCGACUGACGUUGAGGCGCGAAAGCGUGGGGAGCGAACAGGAUUAGAUACCCGGGUAGUC